UGACGCUGGCGGCAUGCUUACACAACGCAAGUUGGAACGGCAGCGCGGGGAGCAAUCCUGGUCGGCGAGUGGCGAACGGGUGAGUAAUACAUCGGAACGUGUCCUUUCAGUGGGGGAUAACCCAGGUCGAAAGACUGGAUUAAUACCGCAUGAAGAUCUCAUGGAUGAAGGCGAGGGAUCGCAAGGACCUCGCGCGUAUUGGAGCGGCGAUGUCGAUUAGCUAGUUGGUGGGGUAAAAGCUCUACCAAGGCGACGAUCUGUAGCUGGUCUGAGAGGACGACCAGCCACACUGGGACUGAGACACGGCCCAGACUCCUACGGGAGGCAGCAGUGGGGAAUUUUGGACAAUGGGCGCAAGUCUGAUCCAGCCAUGCCGCGUGCGGGAAGAAGGCCUUCGGGUUGUAAACCGUUUUGUCAGGGAAGAAAACGGUCCUGAAUCUAAUAUCUUUUGGGGUGAUGACGGUACCUGAAGGAAUAAGCACCGGCUAACUACGUGCCAGCAGCCGCGGUAAUACGUAGGGUGCAAGCGUUAAUCGGAAUUACUGGGCGUAAAGCGUGCGCAGGCGGUUCUAGUCAAGACAGAUGUGAAAUCCCCGGGCUCAACCUGGGAACUGCAUUUGUGACUGGCAUAGGCUUGGAGUUGCGGGCAGAGGGGGGAUGGAAUUUCCGCGUGUAGCAGUGAAAAUGCGUAGAUUUUGCGGA
rnacentral:rRNA from 1 species